GGACAUGGACACCAGCACAGUCCUUGCCUUGCUUGUGUAGCCUCCAGCAGUGGUGCACUCUGGCCUCAUGACCGUCUCCCACAGCGUGGAAGUGGUCCUCCUUUGGUGAGGAGUCAAGUCUGCAGCUUUCUUCUCUAGUGGUGGACUGUCUAGGAUCCAAGAGCUGCGGUGGCUGUUGGGAGGACACUUAAAGUUGGCAUUUGAACAGAAUGAAAACAACCUUUUGGCUAAAUCUGAUGUUGGUUUGGAGGCAUUUGCCAGCUUUCAGCUAAAAACAUGGUUUCGUGAUUGAUAUUUUAAACUGCCUAACAUCUGCUGGAGCUCCUUCAUCACUCUACUGUUGCCUGCAAAUGAUUUACCCAGCUCUUGCAGAGCGUGCCCGUAUCCCCUCCGACAUGCACAGCUUGCUCACAGUCCUGCUCCAUUUUAGACUUCCCCGAUUUUCUGGUGUCUUUGCCCCGAGUAACCUGAGCACUUGCUCACCAUCUUCAACACAGAGGUUGUUGGUUGCACUAGAAAGGCUCUGGACAUGAACUGUGGUAAGUAGAUGUGCAAGGUGAGAAGUAGCUUGUUUGUGUGGAAGAACAUAGAUCA